CGUCCAGGUGUUCUCAAACUUUUAACUGAUUUAUUCUGAUUUUAGUUAGGAAUGCAUUUCUGCACGGUUGCUGCUGUUAUUUCCUGACUUUGUUUUCUUUGGUUUUGAGAAAAAGAAAAGUUGAAGUUCUUACAAAGGACACGGAAAGGCAACAUGUAAUUCAGACAUUAGCUGUCAAAAGAAGAAGGAAGGGUGUUUAAUGAGUUGAGGUUUGAUAUUUUAGAACCAAAGCGAAAUAUCACAGUCUCUUUCAGAUUACGACCGUUCCUUGCGUCCACUUUCUCGGGAAACAAACAAGAAGAGGAAAGAAUUAGAAUAAAAAAAUCGAUCUAAUUGGGUAGGCUCCAAAAGUCGACACGUAAGACUAAACAUUAACCGAAAAACAACCAGCACGAGAUAUCAGCCGUAGAUAAGUUUUCACAAGAUGCAUCACGGGUUCCUUCAUGGGCAUGUCGAGCAAUCUCGAGCUUUGUUGCCAAAAUAGACUGCAAAAUAUCUGAUAGGUCCACGUAAGCAUGCGCUUUUGGUGGCCUUUUCGAGAAACGUUCCGCUCUAUGUAUGGUAGAAGCCGCUGAACGCACUCACUGAGGAGCUUUCUCUACUUCAGAGAAUUCUUAGAAGAUAAGGCCAAUCCUCUUUCCUUUUUCCAGAUAUGGCAUCGGUGCAUGCUAGCUUCACAUCAGUUGUAUGCAAGAAUGGCAACCAUUCUGCUCCUACAAGGUUUCCAAGUACAACCUUUUUACCUGGCUUUGAUGUGGUUGGGCGUGUUUCAACUGCUUGUAAGGAGGAAAUAUUCAAUGCUGCCAUGAAUUCAGGUCCUAGAGCCACAUUAACUGUUGAUCCUUCAACAACCAAUUCAGAGAGAAGCAAGCAGAGGAAGCAUACCAUCGAUCCUGCUUCCCCUGAUUUUAUGCCGCUUCCUUCCUUUGAGGAAUGUUUCCCAAAGAGCUCAAAAGAAUGCAGGGAAGUUAUUCAUGAACAAUCUGGCCAUGCACUCAAGGUUCCCUUUCGAAGGAUCCAUUUGGCUGGAGACGACCCAAACUUUGACACAUAUGACACUAGUGGUCCUCAAAACAUCAAUCCACGCAUUGGACUCCCUAAACUGCGCAAGGACUGGGUUGACAGACGGGAGAAGCUGGGUGCACCAAGAUACACUCAGAUGUACUAUGCUAAGCAGGGAAUCAUUACCGAGGAAAUGUUAUUUUGUGCUACUCGUGAAAAGCUUGACCCAGAAUUUGUAAGGUCAGAGGUGGCCCGAGGGAGGGCAAUUAUUCCUUCCAACAAGAAGCACUUAGAGCUAGAACCAAUGAUAGUUGGCCGAAACUUUUUGGUCAAAGUAAAUGCAAAUAUUGGAAAUUCAGCUGUUGCAAGUUCUAUUGAGGAGGAAGUUUACAAGGUUCAAUGGGCAACAAUGUGGGGUGCUGACACUGUCAUGGAUCUCUCAACUGGACGCCACAUUCAUGAAACCCGUGAGUGGAUCCUACGUAAUUCUGCUGUGCCAGUUGGGACUGUGCCUAUCUAUCAAGCACUUGAAAAAGUGAAUGGAAUUGCUGAAAAUCUUAGCUGGGAGGUCUUCAGGGACACCCUGAUUGAGCAAGCUGAGCAGGGUGUAGAUUACUUCACAAUCCAUGCUGGGGUACUGCUGCGAUACAUUCCCUUAACUGCAAAACGUAUGACAGGAAUCGUUUCUCGUGGAGGAUCUAUUCAUGCAAAAUGGUGCUUGGCUUACCACAAGGAGAACUUUGCUUAUGAGCAUUGGGAUGAUAUACUUGAUAUCUGCAACCAAUAUGACGUGGCGCUUUCUAUUGGGGAUGGACUAAGACCUGGAUCUAUAUAUGAUGCCAAUGACACUGCUCAGUUUGCUGAGCUUUUAACUCAAGGGGAACUGACCCGAAGGGCUUGGGAAAAGGAUGUACAGGUAAUGAAUGAAGGACCAGGACACAUCCCCAUGCACAAGAUUCCUGAAAAUAUGCAAAAGCAGCUGGAAUGGUGUAAUGAAGCACCUUUCUAUACCCUUGGUCCUUUGACAACUGAUAUUGCUCCUGGAUAUGACCAUAUCACUUCUGCAAUUGGUGCAGCCAACAUUGGGGCUCUUGGCACCGCACUUCUCUGUUAUGUAACUCCAAAGGAACACCUUGGGUUGCCAAAUAGAGAUGAUGUGAAGGCUGGAGUAAUAGCAUAUAAGAUAGCUGCUCAUGCGGCUGACUUAGCCAAAGGUCAUCCACAUGCUCAGGCCUGGGAUGAUGCAUUAAGCAAGGCAAGAUUUGAGUUCCGAUGGAUGGACCAGUUUGCUUUGUCACUGGACCCCAUGACUGCCAUGUCCUUCCAUGAUGAAACCCUGCCAUCUGAAGGUGCCAAAGUGGCUCAUUUUUGCUCAAUGUGUGGACCAAAGUUUUGCUCAAUGAAGAUAACAGAGGAUGUCCGAAAAUAUGCUGAGGAGCAUGGUUAUGGGAGCCCUGAGGAAGCUGUGCAACAUGGGAUGGAUGCUAUGAGUGCUGAAUUCCUGGCUGCUAAGAAAACUGUCAGCGGGGAACAACAUGGUGAAGUUGGUGGAGAAAUUUACUUGCCAGCCAGUUACAUCUCCUCCUCUGAAAGGUGAAGGUCAGUUUACUGGAGCAGUUCUUAUUGAAGUUCUUGAAGGUAUUGAAUGCAGCACUGAAUAUGUUAUAGUCCAAUCAAAUUAUUUCAUGGGUCACAUGAAUGAGGGGAAUUGCUUCAGAAAUCCUUGGAGCCCUGAUUAUGCGUCAUUAGCUCAUUAAUAACAGUUAUAUAUGCAGUCUUUUACCAUCAUGCUUUAGGUGAGUACCAGUGUAGUUUGUUGAGUAGCGCUUAAGACAUCUGUAUCUGUUCUGCCUUUUCUAUCGUUUAGUCUCGAUAAUAAAAUGUUUGGACUACAACUUCCAUGCACAUUGAGUUUAUGUUAUCAAUGUUGUGUUGACAUAAAAACGCACCGGGGGUGCCUGUAUCUGCUUUUCGCUCUUUGGCAUUUUGGCCAGGAUGCCAUGGCAGAUGAGGCUGAGAAAGUCCCUUUGAACCUGAACAGGGUAAUGCCUGCGUAGGGAGUGUGCAUUUUCUUUUGCCUUUUUGUCUCUUGGUUGAACAGGAAAGGAGCUCUCCCAUAUCCCAUCAAUGAUUUGGGCCAAGCUGAUCCAUGAGGGACAGAGAGAGGCAACUUCUGACUCCCCAAGUGUUGGAUAUAACCGAAAUUGGAAAUCUUUUAUGGUUUAACCAAAGAGUUCAUAAAGUAGAUAAACAUAGUUUGAUUCAAGUUUUUGACUACAAGAGGGAUCUAAUAAAUAGAAAGAGGGGAAACGAAAAAAGAGGGAAAAUGAAUUUAUAACAUAUAUAUAAACGAGUAAAA